UGCUUUGUGCAGUGGCAGUAUUGUAACCAAUGAGGUUUAUCCGAGGCAUUAUUGUUGCUAAUUGGAGACAUUG
rfam:Fukomys damarensis contig157316, whole genome shotgun sequence.